AACACUGUUAACCUGCGGUACCUGCGGAAGGAUCAUUAUAGUAUAUGGAAUCUCCAUUCUAUAAACCCACUCUGCGUAUCUUGUAACUGUUGCUUCCAUGGGACUUGGUUCCGCCACACCGGCUUCACGGCUGGUGAGCGCCCAUGGAGGGAGAAACAAAACUCUUCUUUGAAAUGUAGUCAGUCUGAACAAGUUUUUAUAAACGUUAAAACUUUUAACAACGGAUCUCAGAUCGGAAGA
rnacentral:misc_RNA from 1 species